UACGUAGGGGGCUAGCGUUGUCCGGAAUCAUUGGGCGUAAAGCGCGUGUAGGCGGUCCGGUAAGUCCGCUGUGAAAGUCGGGGGCUCAACCCUCGGAUGCCGGUGGAUACUGUCGGGCUUGAGUACGGAAGAGGCGAGUGGAAUUCCUGGUGUAGCGGUGAAAUGCGCAGAUAUCAGGAGGAACACCUAUUGCGAAGGCGGCUCGCUGGGACGUAACUGACGCUGAGACGCGAAAGCGUGGGGAGCAAACAGG
rnacentral:rRNA from 1 species